rnacentral:lncRNA from 1 species
GCAGUAGUAUGGGAAGAAUGAAGAUGUACGGCUCACAAACAUCAGCAAUUUUAGUUUGCAUGGAUUUCCUUUUUGGUUGUAGAGAAUUGUAAACAGUUAGACACCUACGAUGCACAUCAAAAGACAACAACAACCAAUGGUCCGGUGAUGACAUAUGAAUUGGGAACAACACAUAGUCAACGUUCUUCCAUGGUGUGUUGACAUCCAUAAACAGCCCAUGUAUGUAUUCAGCAACAUCACCCUCCCCAGACAGAACAAUUUUGUCACAAUUUUUUUUUGUAUACUCCUCGAAAAGAGCGGUGAUCUUAUUGUGAAACCAAC